rnacentral:rRNA from 1 species
UACGUAGGGUCCGAGCGUUGUCCGGAAUUAUUGGGCGUAAAGCGCGCGUAGGCGGUUACUUAAGUCGGAUGUGAAAGCCCUCGGCUUAACUGAGGAAGUGCACCCGAAACUGAGUAGCUAGAGUACGAAAGAGGGUCGCGGAAUUCCCGGUGUAGAGGUGAAAUUCGUAGAUAUCGGGAGGAACACCGGUGGCGAAGGCGGCGACCUGGGUCGAGACUGACGCUGAGGCGCGAAAGCGUGGGGAGCAAACGGG